ensembl:lncRNA
CCUUUGUAUUUAUAAACAGUUCAAGAAAUACAGUUUAGGGGGUUAAUUUAAGAACCCCGACAUGUAGUGUCUCUGUCCCACUGGUUCUGAAAGAUAAUUGGCUGUCAAACUGCCAACUGGCUAUCUGAUUGGACGAAGGUUCAGACUUGUUUGUAAAGUAGGAGGGCAGAAGAGCUGGAGGACACCUGAAUGUUUUCAAACAAUAUUGCCUCUGUAUGCAUUAUACAUUGACACAUUUCUUUAGAAAGUAAAAGUUUAUUUUUGGCCACCCAAUCCACUGGACACGCGUGGAUAUGUGGUUCUGUGAGCUGCCUUCUGUUGGGAACAAACACAUCUCGCAGGGCCCCUAAAACCGAGGGGCCCAUAGUAACGGGUGAAUUGGAAAGAUGGAGGCUCAUCAUCUUCCUGCUCUCCAACCCCUCUCACAUGUAGAGCCCAGGAUGGGCCUGCCAGCGGAAAGCCCAGAAAGAGACCCUGAGGAGGAAUCUUUUCAGUGUGGACCUGAGCAGGGAGAGGAUGGUGAGGGUUGGGGGAGCGAUAGGACACCUGAGGCCUGCACCCCUACUCUCCCAUCCACUGGCAAGAGGAAGAAGAAAAGGAAAAAGAGGUACUUCAAGUUAGAAGCUGUAUGGCACCGUCGUCUUUUGGGUGUUUCUCUAACCUCUGAGCGAGGCAGAGUAUUAUUUAAACUGCCACUUCGCUGUCAGGCCCACCCAAUCAGUUUGGGUACUUUUGUUAUUUUGGGAAGCAAGCAGUGGGCUUUAGGUUCAUGCUGAGGCAUCAGAGCUGGUGUCCGGCCUGUUUGAUACUGCAGCAGUUUCUGAAGCCAGUGUGGCACACUCAUGUUGAACUAUGUCCAUGCCCCAAUAUGCAUUGGCUUCAUAUGCAUUGGCUUCAUAUGCAUUGGCUUCAUAUGCAUUGGCUUCAUAUGCAUUGGCUUCAGAAAGCAUUUAGGCCCCUUCACUUUCUCCUAGUUUGUAUCAUAGACUGGAUUUCUAAUGAUUACAUAUAUUUUUCUGACAAUAAAUCAACAUAGAUUACCCCAUCACGGAAAAGCAAAAACACUUUUUCAGUAAUGUGUGCCAAUUUAUAGAAUAUACGAAUGGAAAUAU